GGGGAAUAUUGCGCAAUGGGGGAAACCCUGACGCAGCAACGCCGCGUGGAGGAAGAAGGUCUUCGGAUUGUAAACUCCUGUCUUCUGGGACGAAUAAUGACGGUACCAGAGGAGGAAGCCACGGCUAACUACGUGCCAGCAGCCGCGGUAAUACGUAGGUGGCGAGCGUUGUCCGGAAUUACUGGGCGUAAAGGGCGCGUAGGCGGCUCUUUAAGUCAGAUGUGAAAACCCAGGGCUUAACUCUGGGACUGCAUUUGAAACUGAAGGGCUUGAGUGCAGGAGAGGUAAGUGGAAUUCCUAGUGUAGCGGUGAAAUGCGUAGAUAUUAGGAGGAACACCAGUGGCGAAGGCGACUUACUGGACUGUAACUGACGCUGAGGCGCGAAAGCGUGGGGAGCAAAC
rnacentral:rRNA from 1 species